UACGGGGGGGGCAAGCGUUGUUCGGAAUUACUGGGCGUAAAGGGCUCGUAGGCGGCCAACUAAGUCAGACGUGAAAUCCCUCGGCUUAACCGGGGAACUGCGUCUGAUACUGGAUGGCUUGAGGUUGGGAGAGGGAUGCGGAAUUCCAGGUGUAGCGGUGAAAUGCGUAGAUAUCAGGAGGAACACCGAUGGCGAAGGCAGCUCUCUGGGCCUGUUCUGACGCUGAGGAGCGAAAGCUGGGGGAGCGAACAGG
rnacentral:rRNA from 1 species